rnacentral:rRNA from 1 species
GGAAAAGAAACCAACAGGGAUUGCCUCAGUAACGGCGAGUGAAGCGGCAACAGCUCAAAUUUGAAAUCUGGCUCCCCUUGGGGGUCCGAGUUGUAAUUUGGAGAGGAUGUUUCUGGCGCGGCGCCUUCCGGAGUUCCUUGGAACAGGACGCCACAGAGGGUGAGAGCCCCGUACGGUCGGCCGCCAAACCUCCAAAAGAAACUCCUUCGACGAGUCGAGUAGUUUGGGAAUGCUGCUCAAAAUGGGAGGUAAAUUUCUUCUAAAGCUAAAUACCGGCCAGAGACCGAUAGCGCACAAGUAGAGUGAUCGAAAGAUGAAAAGCACCUUGAAAAGAGGGUUAAACAGUACGUGAAAUUGUUGAAAGGGAAGCGCCUGCGACCAGACUCGCGCCCCGCGGACCAGCCGGCGUUCUCGCCGGUGCACUCCGCGGGGUGCGGGCCAGCAUCGGUUUUCCCUGGGGGAGAAAGGCCGCGGGAACGUAGCUCCUUCGGGAGUGUUAUAGCCCGUGGCGUCAUGCCCCAGGGGGGACCGAGGACCGCGCUUCGGCAAGGAUGCUGGCGUAAUGGUCGUCGGCGACCCGUUG